rnacentral:rRNA from 1 species
UACGUAGGGUGCGAGCGUUGUCCGGAAUUAUUGGGCGUAAAGAGCUCGUAGGCGGUCUGUCACGUCGAUCGUGAAAACUUGGGGCUUAACCCUGAGCGUGCGGUCGAUACGGGCAUGACUUGAGUUCGGCAGGGGAGACUGGAAUUCCUGGUGUAGCGGUGAAAUGCGCAGAUAUCAGGAGGAACACCAAUGGCGAAGGCAGCUCGCUGGAACGGUACUGACGCUGAGGCGCGAAAGCGUGGGGAGCGAACAGG